ACAACUUUCAACAAUGGAUCUCUUGGUUCUCGCAUCGAUGAAGAACGCAGCGAAUUGCGAUAUGUAAUGUGAAUUGCAGAAUUCAGUGAAUCAUCGAAUCUUUGAACGCACAUUGCACCCUCUAGUAUUCUGGAGGGUAUGCCUGUUUGAGUGUCAUUA
rnacentral:rRNA from 3 species